UCCAGACUCCUACGGGAGGCAGCAGUGGGGAAUAUUGGACAAUGGGGGGAACCCUGAUCCAGCGACGCCGCGUGAGUGAAGAAGUAUUUCGGUAUGUAAAGCUCUCUCAGCAGGGAAGAAAGGAAUGACGGUACCUGACUAAGAAGCCCCGGCUAACUCCGUGCCAGCAGCCGCGGUAAUACGGAGGAUGCGAGCGUUAUCCGGAUUUAUUGGGUUUAAAGGGUGCGUAGGCGGGACGGUAAGUCAGCGGUAAAAAUGCGGGGCUCAACCCCGGCGAGCCGUUGAAACUGCCGUUCUUGAGUGAGCGAGAAGUAUGCGGAAUGCGUGGUGUAGCGGUGAAAUGCAUAGAUAUCACGCAGAACUCCGAUUGCGAAGGCAGCAUACCGGCGCUCAACUGACGCUGAAGCACGAAGGCGUGGGUAUCGAACAGGAUUAGAUACCCCCGUACU
rnacentral:rRNA from 1 species